GAUGAAGAACGUAGCGAAAUGCGAUACGUUAUGUGAAUUGCAAAUUCAGUGAAUCAUCGAGUCUUUGAACGCACAUUGCGCCCCCUGGUAUUCCGGGGGGCAUGCCUGUCCGAGCGUCAUUGCUGCCCUCAAGCACGGCUUGUGUGUUGGGCCCCGUCCUCCGAUCCCGGGGGACGGGCCCGAAAGGCAGCGGCGGCACCGCGUCCGGUCCUCGAGCGUAUGGGGCUUUGUCACCCGCUCUGUAGGCCCGGCCGGCGCUUGCCGAUCAACCCAAAUUUUUAUCCAGGUUGACCUCGGAUCAGGUAGGGAUACCCGCUGAACUUAAGCAUAUCAAUAAGCGGAGGA
rnacentral:misc_RNA from 1 species